rnacentral:rRNA from 1 species
UACGUAGGGUACGAGCGUUGUCCGGAAUUAUUGGGCGUAAAGGGCUCGUAGGCGGUUUGUCGCGUCUGGAGUGAAAACCCAGGGCUUAACCCUGGGCUGGCUUCCGAUACGGGCAGACUAGAGGUAUGCAGGGGAGAACGGAAUUCCUGGUGUAGCGGUGAAAUGCGCAGAUAUCAGGAGGAACACCGGUGGCGAAGGCGGUUCUCUGGGCAUUACCUGACGCUGAGGAGCGAAAGUGUGGGGAGCGAACAGG